UCCUACGGGAGGCAGCAGUGGGGGAUAUUGCACAAUGGGGGGAACCCUGAUGCAGCGACGCCGCGUGGGUGAAGGAGUGCUUCGGCAUGUAAAGCCCUAUCGGCAGGGAAGAAGCAAGACGGUACCUGACUAAGAAGCCCCGGCUAACUACGUGCCAGCAGCCGCGGUAAUACGUAGGGGGCAAGCGUUAUCCGGAUUUACUGGGUGUAAAGGGAGCGUAGGCGGUUUAGCAAGUCAGAAGUGAAAGCCCGGGGCUCAACUCCGGGACUGCUUUUGAAACUGUUGAACUAGAUUGCAGGAGAGGG
rnacentral:rRNA from 1 species